UACGUAGGGGCCUAGCGUUGUCCGGAAUUAUUGGGCGUAAAGAGCUCGUAGGCGGUUCGGCAAGUCGGAUGUGAAAUCUCCACGCUUAACGUGGAGGGGCCAUUCGAAACUGCUGUGACUCGAGUCCGGUAGGGGAGUGUGGAAUUCCCGGUGUAGCGGUGAAAUGCGCAGAGUAUCGGGAGAACACCGAGUAGCGAAGGCGGACACUCUGGGCCGGUACUGGCAC
rnacentral:rRNA from 1 species